GCGCGAUAGCUCAGUUGGUAGAGCAGUGGUCUCGCAAUCCGGUGACCCGGGUUCGAAACCAAGUCGAUGCG
rnacentral:tRNA from 1 species